UGAGUAACGCGUGGGUAACCUACCCCAAAGUCUGGGAUAACAGCGGGAAACCGCUGCUAAUACCGGAUGUCUUUACCUUGGGGCAUCUUGAGGUAAAGAAAGGUAACGCUUUGGGAUGGGCCCGCGUCCCAUUAGCUAGUUGGUGAGGUAACGGCUCACCAAGGCGACGAUGGGUAGCCGGCCUGAGAGGGUGGACGGCCACACUGGGACUGAGACACGGCCCAGACUCCUACGGGAGGCAGCAGUAGGGAAUAUUGCGCAAUGGACGGAAGUCUGACGCAGCGACGCCGCGUGAGCGAUGAAGGUCUUCGGAUCGUAAAGCUCUGUCCUUGGGGAAGAAGGCGAAAGCUUGACGGUACCCAAGAAGAAAGCCCCGGCUAACUACGUGCCAGCAGCCGCGGUAAUACGUAGGGGGCGAGCGUUGUCCGGAAUUACUGGGCGUAAAGGGUGCGUAGGCGGCCCUUUAAGUCGGAUGUGAA
rnacentral:rRNA from 1 species